GAGAAUUGUCAACUCUGACACACCAGAAAUGACACUCAGCAGGGCUUAGCAACCAUGGUCUCUUCUCUGAACCCAUGAAGUGAAGUGGAAACUGGAGGGGUGUCAGCCAAGUUACAAAGGAAUGGCUGAAGCUGGGAGGCCCCACAGGAAAGAAAACGCUGGAAAAAUAGAAGCUUCUGGCCCCAGUGUUCUCACGCAUGACCAUAAUAAUUAAAAAGAAGCUUUGGCAGCCACCCCAGAGCAAGCUCAUGAGGAGAGAUGGGUCACAGAGCUGACCAGCAGUUCUGGAGUGAGGGUGGCCCUGGAGAAGCUGAAGUCCCAGGGGACGCCUGCAUCUGCAUGGCAGGAACCAAGUCUGUCAGUGAUUCUCCUCUCCCUCGAAACCAUCACUGCAAGAUCCCGCUCUGCCAUUUACUAGCUGUGUGACUUUAGGGACAACCAAACCAGCUCCUCCUGGAGAUCCCGGCCCCCUCCCUCUGGACAGCUGAACGGAAGUGAAGCUAACACGUCACCAAUUCCCAGACUUAGAUUCUGCAGCCUGGCGCCCCGCAUUGCAACAGCAGAGCCCCCAUGCUGUAGGAGUGACCAGCAUGGGCCCUGUGUGGCAGGAAGACUCUACAGGAAAGAAGAGAAGAAAAGACCAAGAACUAGGAGGCCAGUGUUUCCAGAGGAAGAGGAUGCUCAACGACAAGGUGAAGUGGCCGGGAGCAAGCUUCGGAUCCCUGUUUUGACUUCAGUGGCUCAGAGAAGAGGCUGUGAGUCACUCAGUGAUCUCUGGCAAGCCCCGCUCUUUGGUUUGUGCCACCUCUGAGGACAGCAUGAUCCACAAGGUCACUCCCUGUUCUGAUAGUCAAGCUUCCCUGUCAGAUCUUCCACCUAUCACGAGGUGUGCCCUGCUUCUCCUGCUCCAGAAAUUGCUGGGGCACAAUACAUGUGCCGUGGUGGUUUGCUGUACCUAUCAACCCUCAUCUAGGUUUUAAGCCCCACAUGCAUUAGGUAUUUGUCCUAAUGUUCUCCCUCCCCUUCCCCCCACCCCGCCACCAACAGGCCUCGGUAUGUGAUGUUCCCCUCCCUGAGCCCAUGUGUUCUCAUUGUUCGACUCCAACUUAUGAGUGAGAACAUGCGGUGUUCGCUUUUCUGUUCUUGUGUUAGUUUGCUGAGAAUGGUGACUUCUAGUUUCAUCCAUGUCCCUGCAAAGGACAUGAACUCAUUCUUUUUCAUGACUGCAUAGUAUUCCAUGGUGUAUAUGUGCCACAUUUUCUUUAUCCAGUCUAUCAUUGGUGGGCAUUUGGGUUGGUUCCAAGUCUUUGCUAUUGUAAAUAGUGCCACAAUAAACAUACAUGUGC
rnacentral:lncRNA from 1 species